AUUAUACUCCCUCCGUCCAAAAAUACUAGUCAUCAAAAUGGACAAAAAGGGAUGUAUCUAAAACUAAAAUACAUCUAGAUACAUCCCUUUUAUCCAUUUUGAUGACAAGUAUUUCCGGACGGAGGGAGUAUAUA
rnacentral:pre_miRNA from 1 species